UCCCGAAAUCAAGUGUUCGAACGGAGGUUGUCCAUGGUGUGUUCAUUUUAUUUAUGAUGAGUAUUACAUGGCCAAUCUCCUUUCGGCACU
rnacentral:pre_miRNA from 1 species